GACGUAGGGCGCGAGCGUUGUCCGGAUUUAUUGGGCGUAAAGAGCUCGUAGGCGGCUUGUCGCGUCGUUCGUGAAAACCUGUAGCUCAACUGCAGGCUUGCGGUCGAUACGGGCAGGCUAGAGUUCGGUAGGGGAGACUGGAAUUCCUGGUGUAGCGGUGAAAUGCGCAGAUAUCAGGAGGAGCACCGGUGGCGAAGGCGGGUCUCUGGGCCGAUACUGACGCUGAGGAGCGAAAGCGUGGGGAGCGAACAGG
rnacentral:rRNA from 1 species